UCCGUUGUAGUCUAGUCGGUUAGGUUACUCGGCUCUCACCCAAGAGACCUGGGUUCAAGCCCCGGCAACGGAA
rfam:Triticum aestivum genome assembly, contig: Triticum_aestivum_CS42_TGACv1_scaffold_577088_7BL